rnacentral:tRNA from 1 species
AUUUAAAUAUCUUAAUUAAAAGAGUAAUAUUGAAGAUAUUGAUAUGCAAUUUUAUUGCUUUAAAUA